ACGGGUGAGUAAUGUCUGGGAAACUGCCCGAUGGAGGGGGAUAACUACUGGAAACGGUAGCUAAUACCGCAUAACGUCGCGAGACCAAAGUGGGGGACCUUCGGGCCUCACACCAUCGGAUGUGCCCAGAUGGGAUUAGCUAGUAGGUGGGGUAACGGCUCACCUAGGCGACGAUCCCUAGCCGGUCUGAGAGGAUGACCAGCCACACUGGAACUGAGACACGGUCCAGACUCCUACGGGAGGCAGCAGUGGGGAAUAUUGCACAAUGGGCGCAAGCCUGAUGCAGCCAUGCCGCGUGUAUGAAGAAGGCCUUCGGGUUGUAAAGUACUUUCAGCGGGGAGGAAGGCGAUGUGGUUAAUAACCGCGUCGAUUGACGUUACCCGCAGAAGAAGCACCGGCUAACUCCGUGCCAGCAGCCGCGGUAAUACGGAGGGUGCAAGCGUUAAUCGGAAUUACUGGGCGUAAGGCGCACGCAGGCGGUCUGUCAAGUCGGAUGUGAAAUCCCCGGGCUUAACCUGGGAACUGCAUUCGAAACUGGCAGGCUAGAGUCUUGUAGAGGGGGGUAGAAUUCCAGGUGU
rnacentral:rRNA from 1 species